rnacentral:rRNA from 1 species
UCGCCCAUUAAAGCGGUACGCGAGCUGGGUUCAGAACGUCGAGACAGUUCGGUCCCUAUCCGUCGUGGGCGUAGGAAAUUGAGAGGAGCUGUCCUUAGUACGAGAGGACCGGGAUGGACAUACCUCUGGUGUACCAGUUGCGUGCCAACGGCAUCGCUGGGUAGCUAUGUAUGGACGGGAUAAGUGCUGAAAGCAUCUAAGCAUGAAGCCCCCCUCAAGAUGAGAUUUCCAACUUCGGUUAUAAGAUCCCUCAAAGAUGAUGAGGUUAAUAGGUUCGAGGUGCGGAAGAGCGAUAUGUGGAGCUGACGAAUACUAAUCGAUCGAAGACUUAAUCAA